rnacentral:tRNA from 1 species
GUCCCCUUCGUCUAGUUUGGUCUAGGACACCAGGUUUUCAUCCUGGCAACAGGGGUUCGAAUCCCCUAGGGGACGCCA